rnacentral:rRNA from 1 species
CUACGGGAGGCAGCAGUGGGGAAUAUUGGACAAUGGGCGAAAGCCUGAUCCAGCAAUGCCGCGUGAGUGAUGAAGGCCUUAGGGUUGUAAAGCUCUUUUACCAGGGAUGAUAAUGACAGUACCUGGAGAAUAAGCUCCGGCUAACUCCGUGCCAGCAGCCGCGGUAAU